AAUAGCGUAUAUUAAAGUUGUUGCGGUAAAAAAGCUCGUAGUUGGAUUUCUGUUGAGGACGACCGGUCCGUACCAUGUACGCGCAUCUGGUUCGGCCUCGGCAUCCUCUCGAUAGACGUUUCUGCGCUUGAUUGCGUGGAGCGGAUUUCGGGACUUUUACUUUGAGGAAAUUAGAGUGUUCACGGCAGGCUAUCGCCAGAAUACAUUAGCAUGGAAUAAUACUAUAGGAUCUCGGUUCUAUUUUGUUGGUUUCUAGACCCGGGGUAAUGAUUAAUAGGGGCAAUUGGGGGCAUUUGUAUCAACACGUCAGAGGUGGAAUUCUUGGAUUGUGUUGCGACAAACUACUGCGAAAGCAUUUGCCAAGGAUGUUUUCAUUGA
rnacentral:rRNA from 1 species